UGAGAGAACUCUCUCCAAGGAACUCGGCAAAUUACCACCGUAACUUCGGAAGAAGGUGGGCCCUCCGUAGGUGUAGUCGUACAGACGAAGCCGAUGAGGGUUGCAGAGAAAUGGCGGUAGCGACUGUUUACCAAAAACACAGGACUCUGCGAAGACGACAAGUCGACGUAUAGGGUCUGACUCCUGCCCGGUGCUGGAAGGUUAAGGGGAUCCGUCAGCCGCAAGGCGAAGCGAUGAUCCGAAGCCCCAGUAAACGGCGGCCGUAACAAUAACGGUCCUAAGGUAGCGAAAUUCCUUGUCGGGUAAAUUCCGACCUGCACGAAUGGAGUAACGACUUCCGCCUGUCUCGGAGAGGGACUCAGCGAAAUUGAAAUAGCUGUGCCGAUGCAGUUUACCCGCAGCAAGACGGAAAGACCCCGUGAACCUUUACUACAACUUGACAGUGACACUAGGGAUUGACUGUGUAGGAUAGGUGGGAGCCUUUGAAACCGGGCCGCUAGGUUCGGUGGAGGCAACGGUGAAAUACCACCCUGUUGAUUUCUGGUGUCUAACCGUGUCCCAUAAUCUGGGAUCGGGACACUGUCUGGUGGGUAGUUUGACUGGGGCGGUCGCCUCCCAAAGCGUAACGGAGGCGCGCGAUGGUUCCCUCAGCCCGAUUGGAAACCGGGCGGCGAGUGCAAUGGCAUAAGGGAGCUUAACUGCGAGACAGACAUGUCGAGCAGGUGCGAAAGCAGGUCAUAGUGAUCCGGUGGUUCUGAAUGGAAGGGCCAUCGCUCAACGGAUAAAAGGUACUCCGGGGAUAACAGGCUUAUCUCCUCCAAGAGUUCACAUCGACGAGGAGGUUUGGCACCUCGAUGUCGGCUCAUCGCAUCCUGGGGCUGGAGCAGGUCCCAAGGGUUUGGCUGUUCGCCAAUUAAAGCGGUACGCGAGCUGGGUUCAAAACGUCGUGAGACAGUUUGGUCCCUAUCUGCUGUGGGCGUAGGAUACUUGAGAGGAUCUGUCCUUAGUACGAGAGGACCGGGAUGGAGACACCUCUGGUGUACCAGUUGUCACGCCAGUGGCAUCGCUGGGUAGCCAUGUGUCGAUUGGAUAACCGCUGAAAGCAUUUAAGCGGGAAACCGACCUCAAGAAUAGGUAUCCCGGGGGAAAUCCCCUGAAGACCCGUCGAAGACUACGACGUUGAUAGGCCGGGUGUGUAAGCGUGGCAACACGUUGAGCUAACCGGUACUAAUUGGUCGUGCGGCUUACUUUG
rnacentral:rRNA from 1 species